CUGCUUCCGGCCGGGAAGUUUAGUGUACCAGCCUUUCCGGCUCGGGGGGAAUUCCUACCCCACUUUCCUCGGCCUAGGUUCCUCCGUGUGCAAUGGCUCCGGACUCAGGCUCCCUUCCCGAAGGACCUAUCUUAAAGCUCCUACCCUUAGACACUAAGGACCGGGGCACCCAGCGCUGUCGCCUGGGCCCGGCAGCCUUCCGUGCCUUGGGCGCGCACUUGGGCUCGGCGGUGAAGAUCUCGCUGCCUGACGGCGGCUCCUGCCUUUGCACCGCCUGGCCGCGGCGGGACGGAGCGGAUGGGUUUGUGCAACUGGAUACGCAGUGCGCGAGUCCCGGGUCGGCAGUCGGGGCGCCGGGGUCCCGGGGAAGCCUCAGCUUGAGCCGCCUCCGCCUGGUGCCCUGCCCACCCCUUCGGCGCCUCACUGUGUGGCCGGAGUUGCGGGAGCGGGCGGGCGCCCCCGCUGCCCCGAGUCCAGCCGCGGUGCUGGAGGCCGCGCAGGAGAUGCUGAGGAACCGGCCCGUCUCCCGGGGCCACGUGGUGGCCGCUCCGUCGGGCGUCCCCGGCCCGGUAGCUGCCCUGCACAUCGUCAGCGGGGUGCCCAGCCCGGAUCCGGCUGGGCUGGUCACCCCUCACACCCGCAUCGGUCUCGGCGCGGUGCCUCCGUCGGAAGCGCAGCCGCAGCCCGAGGUGCCCCUGGGGGGCCUUUCGGAGGCGGCCGACUCGCUGCGAGAGCUCCUCCGCCUGCCGCUCCGCUACCCCCGCACCUUGGCCGCGCUGGGGCUAGCAGUGCCCCGCGGGGUGCUCCUGGCGGGUCCCCCGGGAGUGGGCAAGACCCAGCUAGUGCGGGCCGUGGUCCGGGAGGCGGGCGCGGAGCUGCUGGCAGUGAGCGCUCCCGCGCUGCAGGGCGCCCGGCCCGGGGAGACCGAGGAGAACGUGCGGCGGGUCUUCCAGCGUGCCCAGGAGCUGGCCAGCCGCAGGCCCACCCUCCUCUUCCUGGACGAGGUGGACGCCCUGUGCCCCCGGCGGGGCGGCGCCCACCAAGCCCCCGAGGGCCGCGUGGUGGCCCAGGUGUUGACGCUGCUGGACGGCAUCAGUGGAGACCGCGAGGUGGUUGUGGUGGGAUCCACCAACCGGCCGGACGCGCUGGACCCCGCGCUGCGCAGACCCGGGAGAUUUGACCGAGAGAUUGUCAUUGGGACUCCCACACUUAAACAAAGAAAGGCGAUUCUACAGGUGAUUACCUCAAAGAUGCCCAUCUCUGGUCAAGUCGAUUUGAGCCUCCUUGCAGAAAUGACAGUUGGCUACGUUGGUGCAGACCUGACCGCACUCUGUAGGGAGGCUGCCCUGCAUGCUUUACUUCACAGUGAAAAGAACCAGGACAAUCCAAUGAUUUAUGAAACAGACUUCCUUGAAGCUUUUAAAAAGAUUCAACCUUCAUCAUUUCGAAGUGUCAUUGGACUGAUGGAUAUCAAGCCUGUUGGCUGGGAGCAGAUUGGUGGCCUUGAAGAUGUAAAACUGAAGUUAAAACAGAGCAUUGAAUGGCCUCUGAAAUUCCCUCGCGAAUUUGUCAGGAUGGGCUUGACCCAACCAAAGGGAGUUCUCCUAUAUGGCCCUCCUGGAUGUGCUAAAACCACCCUGGUGAGGGCUCUGGCCACAAGCUGUCAUUGCUCCUUUGUUUCAGUGAGUGGGGCUGAUCUCUUUUCACCUUUUGUUGGAGAUUCAGAAAAACUCUUGUCUCAGGUGUUUCAGCAAGCAAGAGCAAACACUCCAGCAAUUGUGUUUUUGGAUGAAAUUGAUUCAAUCGUGGGCUCUCGAUCAGUCAGCAAAGCAGGAUGUAAUGUUCAAGAGCGUGUUCUUUCUGUUCUCCUGAACGAAUUAGAUGGUGUUGGACUGAAAACUAUCGAGAGAAGAGGAAGUAAAUCAGAUCAACAGGGUAAAUACAAGGAGCUGAAAAAAAAUGAAGAGAGUGUCAAGAAGUUUUUAAUCAAAAUGUCAUGAUUGUUGCGGCAACAAAUAGACCAGAUGUGUUAGAUGAUGCCUUGCUACGGCCUGGAAGAUUAGAUAAGAUCAUUUAUAUUCCACCUCCAGAUGAAAAGGGCAGGCUUUCUAUUUUGAAAGUCUGUACAAAAAACAUGCCAGUGGGGCCUAAUGUUUCUUUAGAAAACCUGGCAGCAGAAACCUGUUUUUUCUCUGGAGCUGAUCUUGGAAACCUCUGCAAAGAAGCUGCCUUGCUGGCUCUGCAAGAAGAUGGCCUAGAAGCAACCGCAGUGAAACAGGAGCACUUUCUAAAAUCACUUAAGACUGUGAAACCAUCCUUAAGUCACAAGGAUUUGACUUUGUAUAAAAACUUGUUUCAGAAACAAGGAUUCUCUAACGUAGAGGAUGUUUAAGAAUCACAUACCUGCUCAAGGGUCCGUUGAAAUGUGCACUUGCACUGUCGUUUGCAGCUUCACUUUUAGAGUCUGUGUAUAUGUUAUUUCCUGUAAAUAAAGAAAACCAAACAUGUGGCUGAUAAGCCAAGAUUCAUCUUGUUUCUAAAAGGAAUA